rnacentral:rRNA from 1 species
CCCUGGUUGAUCCUGCCAGUAGUUAUAUGCUUGUCUCAAAGAUUAAGCCAUGCAUGUCUCAGUGCAAGCCGUAUUAAGGCGAUACCGCGAAUGGCUCAAUAUAUCAGUUUUGGUUCCUUAGAUCUUACUCAGUUACUUGGAUAACUGUGGUAAUUCUAGAGCUAAUACAUGCAAUCAGAACUCUGACCAGUGAUGGGAUGAGUGCUUUUAUUAGAUCAAAACCAAUCGACGGAGGGCCUCGCGUCCGAAGUCGUUAAUUUUGAUGAAUCUGGAUAACUUUUGCCGAUCGCAUGGUCCAGUACCGGCGACGCAUCUUUCAAAUGUCUGCCUUAUCAACUUUCGAUGGUAGUUUCUGCGACUACCAUGGUUGUCACGGGUAACGGGGAAUCAGGGUUCGAUUCCGGAGAGGGAGCCUGAGAAACGGCUACCACAUCCAAGGAAGGCAGCAGGCGCGCAAAUUACCCACUCCCGGCACGGGGAGGUAGUGACGAAAAAUAACGAUACGGGACUCUUACGAGGCCUCGUAAUCGGAAUGAGUACACUUUAAAUAUUUUAACGAGGAACAAUUGGAGGGCAAGUCUGGUGCCAGCAGCCGCGGUAAUUCCAGCUCCAAUAGCGUAUACUAAAAUUGUUGCGGUUAAAAAGCUCGUAGUUGCAUUUGUGCGCCGCGCUGUCGGUGCACCGCAUCCGCGGUGAUACUGACACGUCUGCGGAGCAUAUCGUCGGUGAGCCGUCGGUUAAACGUCGGUUCAAUAUUAUUUAUAUGUAUUAUAUUUCGACAACCGCUCGCGACCGUGUCCCUACACGACAUAGUGCCGGCACCAAUGCAGCGUGUAUAGUAUACCUGCGUGCGCUGCGCGUGGUCGCGCGCGUGCGGCGCGUGCUGCGCGUGCUGCGCGUGUUGCGCGUGGUGCCAGCCCACGCCGCCCAGCGCGCCCAGCCGGGUGCCGCGGACUGGAGCUUCGAUCUAGGUCGUACUCUCGCACUCCCGAGGCGUCUCGUUUCCAAUCCGUGAAUGCAGGCGCGCUCUGAGCAUAAAUGCUGGGACCCGAAAGAUGGUGAACUAUGCCUGGUCAGGUCGAAGUCAGGGGAAACCCUGAUGGAGGACCGUAGCGAUUCUGACGUGCAAAUCGAUCGUCGGAACUGGGUAUAGGGGCGAAAGACUAAUCGAACCAUCUAGUAGCUGGUUCCGUCCGAAGUUUCCCUCAGGAUAGCUGGCGUCGAUUUGAACAGUCUCAUCCGGUAAAGCGAAUGAUUAGAGGCAUUGGGCCGAAACGACCUCAACCUAUUCUCAAACUUUAAAUGGGUGAGUACUCCGGCUUACUCGAACGAUGAAGCCGGAGAUCUGAUGACGGUGCCAAGUGGGCCAAUUUUGGUAAGCAGAACUGGCGCUGUGGGAUGAACCAAACGUAGUGUUAAGGCGCCUAAAAAACGCUCAUGGGACACCAUGAAAGGCGUUGGUCGCUCAUGACAGCAGGACGGUGGCCAUGGAAGUCGGAAUCCGCUAAGGAGUGUGCAACGACUCACCUGCCGAAGCAACCAGCCCUGAAAAUGGAUGGCGCUGAAGCGUUUUGCCUAUACACUACCGUUACGGGCAUGUGCGACGUUCUUUGUGACGUCAACGAAGGAAUCAGCGCUACACUGAAGGAAUCAGCAUGUUCUCCCUGGCCUAGAGGCCCGGGCAACCCGCUGAAACUCCUUCGUGCUGGGGAUUGGGGUUUGCAAUUAUCCCCCAUAAACGAGGAAUUCCUAGUAAGCGCGAGUCAUAAGCUCGCGUUGAUUACGUCCCUGCCCUUUGUACACACCGCCCGUCGCUACUACCGAUUGAAUGAUUUAGUGAGGUCUUCGGACCGACACGCGGUGGCUUCACGGCCGUCGGCGUUGCUGGGAAGUUGACCAAACUUGAUCAUUUAGAGGAAGUAAAAGUCGUAACAAGGUUUCCGUAGGGGAACCUGCGGAAG